CAAAUCCUAUCUUGCAGUUUCUGGUACCUGCAGAUGUGGUUUGCUUUAGGAGAAGAUGUGCGUGUUUGGGGUCAUAAUGUCAAUCAGUGCUAAAGAGAAAGAAGUGACUGACUGACUGAUCAAUGAAUAUGCAUGGAUCCAAACAAUAAAGCAGCUCCUGAUGGACUCUGAGGUUUUUACAAGUUACAUAUGCUCUGUGAAAUGAUGUCAAUGAACAGAAGACAACCAAGCCUGCUUUUCAUUUUCCUAACUCAUCCUUACAGUGUACCCUGUUUCACCUCCCAGCAAACUGGUUUGAUAAGACGAGACUGAUGGUCCAACUGAACCUGCAAAAACUGACAGAACUCCAAAUUGUACUGAACUUGUUCAAAGCAACUGGUACCCAGGAAGGUGGAGACUGCCCUACCUACAGGCCACUCUACCAGUUGGCCUCCAUCUGUUAUUCCAUGCACAUAACUAUGAGUGACCCUAUGAGAGUGUGUGUGUCUGAACUGUAUGUGGAUAUAUCUGGUGUGAAUUAUUAAUUAUUAUAAAGCUGUGGCUAAUACUGAAAGCUUGAGUCUAAUCAUAAUAUAAAUAUAUGCGAACUUAAGUAGUAAAAGGUGUUUUAAGAAAUAUAGGUUGUGAUCUGUCUCCCAAGUUUGAUCACCUACCAGAGAAAAUGGUACCUCUA